CUCUUCCUCACUCUCACCUUCCAGACCUUUCCGUCCUCUCUCACCCUCUCUUGCCCCUGUCGAUCAAUCUUCUUCUUGGACUUCCUCGCAUAGUCGCUUCGUCUUUACUCCCAGCUGCCGAUCAAACUUCCUCCUUCCCUUCUAACAGACCUCUUCUUCGACUUCAUCUCCCUUACGGUCUCACCGCAUCUUCUUCGUCUUCCUUCCUCCGCCGUCACUGCAUCCUCUUCGCAUCCCUUUCGUCCCCGUCACCACCUCCAAACCCUAAAUCUUCUCUCGCCAGAUGAUUCUCUCUCUCUCGCUCUCUCUACUUGAUGUCAAACUAGCGAGCUUGUGGAGAAAACCUAGACGCCUUCUUUGAAUCGACAUCUUCUGAUGGUUUGAAGUGGUGCAUCGCGGGUGGAAGCAAGUUUGUAGGUUUGGUCUAUUUUACUUUAAUGUACAAAUUUAAAAUAAAAUUUAAAAUUUGUUAUGGAUUGUGCAGUUAUCUUGCGGCAAAGAUUGAGGCUGAUCAUUACGCGAGAGAAUUAAGGAGGGAGCAAGAAGAAUCAUCAAUGUCUUUGAAGAUACUUUUUCUCCAACCAUUGAAGACAUCUGUUCAUUUACGGCCCUGGUGCAAUGAGAAAGUUGAAAGAGGUUCAGGAAUUAUCUCAUUCACAACUCGACUGCUGGCGCGAACAUCAUGAAUUGGCACCCUUAUUGAUAAAGGAGGAGCUAUCAUAAACGAGAUGAGGAGGCUGACAAAAGCAAAGAUUCGCAUCCUGUCAAAGGAAAGUCUUCCCAAAAUAGCAUCCGAAGAUGAUGAAAUGGUUCAGCUAAGGUACUUACAUGAUUAAGAGCAAAUCUUUUUGAUAGGGCGGGGGCUAUUUCUGCAUUCCUUCCAGUUACUUCUACCAUAUCUUCCUGUUCCAGCUGAUGGCCCAGAUGGUUUAAGCUAUGAUGUUAGAGAUAGUAAAAGGCAUGUACGUGUACAUUCUUAUUUAAGGGAUAAGGGGUUUCAAGUGACUUAGCUGCUGGUGGUGGCUAUGAAAGCUACCAUGGUUCAUAGGUACUUUUUAGGCAUAGGCAAUUGUGAACAAGUUACUUAUAAGUUCUGCAUGUUUACUUAUUUAUGAUUCAAUGACUGCAAAAUUGUGCCAUUAUGUGUAGUUUGGUGGUAGCAGUGCUUGUGGGCUUAUGGAAGUUAUUCUUUGGGACAAACUGCCACUUCUGGGUAACAAAUUUUAUCAUAUUUGCUUUUUUCUCUUUAUUUGUAGAAUAUUUUUAGUAGAGCACAAUGGCGUCUUGCAAUCCAUGUAGCCGACCCCACCUAGUGGGAUAAAGGCUUGUUGUUGUUGUUGUUGUUGUUGUUGUAUUUGUAGAAUAUUUUUAGUGUGCUUUGGCUUAUGCUACAUUGCUACUCUCUUUGGGUGAAUGCGUAACAUAAUCCUGAUGUUAUAUGAGGACUAAAGGUUUUUCUUUUAGAUGGCUGUGAAGUCGGUUUUUAGACUAAAGCUUUUUUAGUAACCCUGUUUGAAGCUUCUGUGCCAUGAACAUGAAACCUGUUUGGAAUGGUAGGUUUGGUUUAAUUUAUGUUAAAUGAGACUCCUUAGUGUUCCCUAUCCUUUUUCUCUCUUUCGUUUCAGUUAAAGGAGAAAAUGUGUAUUUUAACCAUUUUGCAAAGCAGUAUCUGUGAAGACAUUAAAUUAGAUAUGUUGGCACAAUUUAUUAAUGAUAUUUUAAAAUUAUAUCCUAUAUGCAUUUUACUUUGAGUACAUAGGACGCCAUUAUUCAAUUAGUGAAAAUCAUUCUGAUGGUCACAAAAUCAUUGCAUUUUAUCAAGAAAAAAUUUGCCAAGAAAGUUUGUUGGUCGUUGCUAAUGGUAACUUCAUUCUGGGAAAACCUACAACUAUUGAUAAUUUUCUUAAGGAAAUGUGUAAGUUAGUCUGAAUGAAUAUGAAAGAACAUUGUGUUGAAUUUUGAUAAAUUCCUCAAAAGGAUGUUAUGCAUAGAUCUUAAGUAUAAUUUUUAAUUUAAUUUGUAGAUAUUUAAUUUUGGAUCUGUCCUUAGCUAAGCGGCAUCAGAAUUAUAUGGAAGGCAUUGGCUAAACAUUUCUAAAAGGAAUCUUAGCAUUGAAAACAAUAACAUCAUAGAUUAGUGAAAAUCAUUCACACAGUUUAUACUUAUAGAAUUUUAAUACAUUUGGAAUGUAUGAAUUGUGGUGAUACAAGAUGAUUGAAAUCUUAGCAGAAGCAUUAGUAGUUUUAAUUAGUUUAAAUCCAUUCUGUAUUAUGUGCUCCAUCAUUUCAUUCUCCUCACUCUCUCUCAAGUACAUUUAGUACUGUCAGUAGAUUUUAUAUAAAUUUAUCUAUGAAAUAGUAUAUCUGGUCAUCUAUUAGGAAUAAUCAACUUUGUGCUCAUGGCUCUACAUAUUAACAAUCGUUUUGGAAAAAAGUGUAGAAUUGUAAAUUUGGACUCUAGCAGAUUGAGGAAUUGAUCAUAGUGAAUUACGAGCAAAUCUCACUUGUUUUUUGAAAACAAUAACAUCAUUCUUGGAGUCAUAUUGACAAGUUUCAUGUCUUCUUUCGCUUUACAUCUCACAUAACUGAAGGUUGUCAUAUAACAUUUUUGUAGCAGAAAGGAAUCUCUAUGAUAGGCGAAGAAGGAAAGAGAGAAAGAUAUCAUUGUGAUGGCAUUGGUCACUCGCUUAUACCCUUACAAACUAAUAUAAACAACCACUUUCUAGGCAUUGAAGAAAAAGAAGUUAGUUUUGGAAAUAUAACCAUAUCUAAUGUAAUUUUGACUAUUAAACAAUGAUUGAUGGUGCAUUCUGUUAUUUAUUUCUGAUGAUCUUUUCUGAUCCAUAAUAUUUCAAAUGCAACUAAUUAAGACAAGCUCUUCUCUUGAAGGUGACAAUUUUUUUUUUCCCCUAAUUAAGCUAACUUUAGAUAGUGUAUUUUGUUUAUUUAGGAUUUCUUAUGAUAGAGGUAAUAAAGAACAUUGUAUAGAAUUUUUAGGAAAUCUACAACGAUUUGUGUGACUUUAACCCAUACAAUGAAAGUGGGUGUUAUUGUUGCUGAUCCUCCAAAUUCUAAUAAAGAAAAUGAAACUCCAUGCACUUCAAUGGACCUUGGCUCACUUAGGUAUUUAAUGCUUGAUUUAGUUAUUGCAUAGUCUAGGUGAGUUUCUGAUUUUAAUUAUAAUUGUUUCUCCUUCGUUUUUGCAUGACAUAAAGAGGAAGAUAAGAGGUUUAGAUAAUUCCUUGCAAGUAACCUACCUACAGGUAAUAUGUUAGGCAUUAUUCUGUUUGUGAUGUUUGUCAUUUGCAAUAUUUCAAUGGUUUAAGUGGUACAUCUAAUGGCUUCUCAUUGUACAAGGAGAGAACGAAAUUGGAUUUGAGUGUCGCAUCCAAUUCAUCUAGCGGAGAUACUAUUUCACCAAGUUGAAUAUUUUUGAUGAUGGACUGACUCCAGUUAGUUUUUAGGAUUUCAGACGUAUGAACACUUACGUGUGAGCAUCAUGGCAUCAAAUUUGUUACUUUACUAUUUGAUGUCGCUUGUGAAGCAAACCUAUGUGUGGAUUCCUUAAGCCAAGUUGGUGCUGAACUAUAAUUUUCUAACAUUCUAACACUGAGAUAUUGUCUCACUAAA